rnacentral:rRNA from 1 species
UACGUAGGGUGCGAGCGUUGUCCGGAAUUAUUGGGCGUAAAGGGCUCGUAGGCGGUUUGUCGCGUCGGGAGUGAAAACCAGGUGCUUAACACCUGGCUUGCUUUCGAUACGGGCAGACUAGAGGUAUUCAGGGGAGAACGGAAUUCCCGGUGUAGCGGUGAAAUGCGCAGAUAUCGGGAGGAACACCGGUGGCGAAGGCGGUUCUCUGGGCCUGUACUGACGCUGAGGAGCGAAAGCGUGGGGAGCAAACAGG